GUGCUAAUGUCAUCAAUAUAUAUAUUAAAAUUGGACACACAGAGAUUAGCAUGGCUCCUUUGCAAAAAUGACUUGCAAAUUGGUGAAGCAUUUUGUACUUUG
rnacentral:snRNA from 1 species